UAUACCCAUCUGAAACGAAGCCCUAAUGACGCGAUCGUGUUUAAAAUAGCUGGAAAGAUAGAAAAUUUGAGAGUGGCGGCGAGAUCUGUGAGUUUAAAGGUUCGAUCUUUCCCGCAAAUAAUGGAGCAUCUUUUUGAUUGAUUUGAUGUAGAACAUAGGCUCGUUUUUAUGUAAGUUUUUGGUACGGAAAUUUUCGUUUACAGAUUCAGUAUAUUUUAAGUUUCCUUAUGGCUUUGAUCGUUAAGUUGCCAAGUGAUGAUUGAAAAAUUUGCGCAAGGGUUUUGAGUUUCGGAUGAUCGGAGUUUACUCUGAUCUGAAUGAACUGUGACAAAAUCAUUUUCUUAUAAUUCAUUCUGAUGGCAGCUGAUCAAUGUUAACAUCUAUCAAAUUUAUAUUCGAUUUUAUUUUUGGCCACAUGUUUUGAUUCUAAUAGGCAUAAUAAAUGUAUUGGAAAAAUUUUGUUGGUCAGAGGCUCGGUUUUGGGGCAGCUAGAGAAUUACCCUAUUAUGCUUUGAAAUUUUGUGCAAUGGCUUUGAGUUCCGGAGGUCUGAAUAUUUUAAUUCUUAGCAACUGUGAGAAAUGAUAAAUAUUCAAGCUCUGCAAAUUUUGCUCUAGAGCUCUUGACCCUUGUAUUAUGUGAUCAAAUAAACUGUGAAAAGUUUUCUUUUCUUUUCUCAUUUUGAUGGUUUGGGUUGCAUAAUAUGGAUCUAUAAUCUACCAGGACCAUGCUUGAUUCUGUUCUGGACAUAAAUUGCUUUAGAUGUGUGGAAGAUCUGUGUUGUAUUUUGGAAUUAGUGAAGACCAUUCUGUUAUCUGAAGAACUAAUUGAAGUCGUUUACUUUUAAGAUCUCAUUUAGGGGCACCUUUUUACUUUCAUUUUAAGUUUUUAUACCUUGAGCUGGGUGAUUGGAGUCUGUGACCAAUUGCAGGGAAACCUGAAAUUUUUUAUAUCAGUCAUAUUUUCUGGUAUUCAAAUCUUAAGUAAGUUUUGUUUCGAGGACAAUGAAGCAUGUGGUAAAGAUUUUGAGCCUGCUGGUAGCAGUCUCUGGCUUUUGGAUUGCUCUUUUGCAGGCUGCAAUUAUUCCCCCAAGCCAUACAUGGUUGGUGUGGAAGACCAUUGCAGUUUUGGUGACUGAGAAGACGAAGACUGGGCUAUAGAGAUUUGGUUGGGCCUUUCUGUGUUGUUGGACCUUUGCAUGUUUGGCUUUGUUUAGUCUAGGCCCAUUAUUGCUUUUCUUUUCCUCAAACGCAUCGCAUCAAUAUCGUUCUGUUCUGCGAUGUCGUGUGGAUCUCUUCAGCUUCUUGCAUCUUUGUCUUCUUCACUUCUUGGAUCUACUUCUUGAUUCUGAGUUGAAGCUUGAGAAUCAUUUACAAUUCUGUUUAUAGAUGAUUUUCAUAAUGGAAACAUAUUUUUUAAGUUGUGAA